CCUACGGGAGGCUGCAGUGGGGAAUAUUGCACAAUGGGCGCAAGCCUGAUGCAGCCAUACCGCGUGUGUGAAGAAGGCCUUCGGGUUGUAAAGCACUUUCAGCGGGGAGGAAGGCGGUGAGGUUAAUAACCUCAUCGAUUGACGUUACCCGCAGAAGAAGCACCGGCUAACUCCGUGCCAGCAGCCGCGGUAAUACGGAGGGUGCAAGCGUUAAUCGGAAUUACUGGGCGUAAAGCGCACGCAGGCGGUCUGUCAAGUCGGAUGUGAAAUCCCCGGGCUCAACCUGGGAACUGCAUUCGAAACUGGCAGGCUAGAGUCUUGUAGAGGGGGGUAGAAUUCCAGGUGUAGCGGUGAAAUGCGUAGAGAUCUGGAGGAAUACCGGUGGCGAAGGCGGCCCCCUGGACAAAGACUGACGCUCAGGUGCGAAAGCGUGGGGAGCAAACAGGAUUAGAUACCCGUGUAGUC
rnacentral:rRNA from 1 species